rnacentral:lncRNA from 1 species
CUCAAAGUAAAAGACUGCUUUCACAGUGACCAACAAAACCAAUCCUCAAGGUAAAAGACUGCUUUCACAGUGACCAACAAAACCAAUCCUCAAGGUAAGAGAGACUGCUUUCACAGUGACCAACAAAACCAAUCCUCAAGGUAAAAGACUGCUUUCACAGUGACCAACAAAACCAAUCCUCAAGGUAAAAGAGACAGAAAACAACUUUGUGGAGGGAUAAAGUUACUCAGACCUAUUAUUGACCAUUCAGAAGAAGCUGAAUCCAAUGUAGGAAGGAUUUCUGUGUGCAUGUGGUGGAUGGG